rnacentral:rRNA from 1 species
CGACCCGGCCAUAGUGGCUGGGUAACACCCGGACUCGUCAGAUCCCGGAAGUUAAGCCAGCCACGUUAGGUGAGGCUGUAGCUUCCGAAAGGGGCUGCAGCCCACCUAAGCUGGGAUCG